rnacentral:rRNA from 1 species
UACGUAGGCAGCAAGCGUUGUUCGGAGUUACUGGGCGUAAAGGGUGUGUAGGCGGUUGUUUAAGUUUGGUGUGAAAUCUCCCGGCUCAACUGGGAGGGUGCGCCGAAUACUGAAUGACUAGAGUGCGGGAGAGGAAAGUGGAAUUCCUGGUGUAGCGGCGAAAUGCGUAGAUAUCAGGAGGAACACCGGUGGUGUAGACGGCUUUCUGGACCGUAACUGACGCUGAGACACGAAAGCGUGGGUAUCAAACAGG